CAGAUAAUCAAGAUCAUGAGAUAUUCGAUCCAACAUCCCACUGGCGCUGUUCGCUUCACAAUUUAAUAAUUUAAGCUCGGCUAUUUUUUCCUCACCAUCUGGUUGUUUACGUUCCAUGGUGUUUGCAAUGUCAGCAAGAGUCACGUCGGGCAUUGAAUUCAUUCCAAUUGUCGUCGUAGUUGUUGUUGUCGUUGUCGUUGUUUCAACGUCGGCACUACAUAAAAUUGUCGUCGUACAUUCUGGUGUAACGCUUCGCGAUGGUAGACAAACUUGAACAAUUGGUAUCUCCUGGGACGUUGGAUAUUUGGCAAAGUCACGAAAAGUGGGACGGAGGAAGACUUUGGGUAGGCGGUUAUUUCAUUCAUGUAGUCCCUCAUGUCGAGACUGCCCGCCGCAAUGCCACGUGAUUCCCGAUAUGUCUCAGUGAGAAGAUGCGUUGGCGCCAAAUCGUUCUCCACUUCGGGAUUCAUUUUCGAGCACACUGCGAACGAAAAAUUAUUUAUUGAAUAACUGCUCGAAUACGGCUCAUAAUAAAUAAAAAAUAAUAUUACCAAAAAAAUCAAGCAGGUGAUAAUUUGAAAUUUGCACCUAAUUAUUUCUCAAGAGUAAUUAAACUUGGGAUUCAAGGGUUGAAAGUACCUUUAAUUUGAUCAGAGAUGCAUUCCUCUUCAAUGCCU